AAUAGGAGAAUGACAAAUUAGAUUUUUCCUCCUGAUUGUCCGCUUUGUACUCUUAAAAAAUUCAAAUUUAACUAAAAAUGUUAAAAAUUAGAGGAAAAAUCUUAUUUGUUAUUCUCCUAUU
rnacentral:pre_miRNA from 1 species